UACAGAGGGUGCAAGCGUUAAUCGGAAUUACUGGGCGUAAAGCGUGCGUAGACGGUUAUGUAAGUCAGGUGUGAAAGCCCCGGGCUCAACCUGGGAAUUGCAUUUGAGACUGCAUAGCUAGGGUGCGGAAGAGGGAAGCGGAAUUUCCGGUGUAGCGGUGAAAUGCGUAGAUAUCGGAAGGAACACCAGUGGCGGAAGCGGCUUCCUGGUCCAGCACCGACGUUCAGGGACGAAAGCUAGGGGAGCGAAUGGG
rnacentral:rRNA from 1 species